GCGGCGAGGACGGAGAACAUUGAGCAAUUGUGUGAAGCUGUGCAGGUCACUGUCAGCACACGCUGGGAAGGCGACAAGAGGGGCUGGAAAUAAUCGAAGAGCCUGAGGGAGAAGCGCUGCCCGGGAAGAGCAGGACGCGCAGAAGGGCAAGAGUAACACCACGUGCUAAAUAGGCACGUAUAAUGGCAAAGACGGAAAGCCAGCUGGCGGUGUCAGACCUCGCGCACGGGGCCAUGUCAGUAAGCAGCAGACCACGACUUUCCCAGGACCCUGAAAUACAUGGCCCUUCGGCCGGGCUACCGCUCAGAAAUGAUCUCCGAUGGAAAAGCUAGCAGAAAAGGAAAAGCCUUCCUGGCUGCGUUCCGGGUCCUGGAACCCUCAGAACUCAGUGUUGGCAUUCGCAGUCCCUCCGCCUGAACCAGGUUUUCUCCCAGAGCCACAUGGCCCACUCCCUACUUCACUCAGUCCUCUGGUCACACGUGGGGCCCGAGACCCUUCCACCACCUUAGCUGAAUUAGCUACGUCCCCACCUGCACUCGCUCUCUCCCCAUUCCUGCUGUUUGCUCCUCACAGCAUCUAUUGACAGCUGCCACUUCAAAUGUCACCCCAUGACUUUACUGCUAUACAGUCACGCAACACUAAGGACGGGGAUACAUUCUCAGCAAUGUGUCAUUCCGUGAUUUCGUCAUUGUGCAAACAUCACAGAGUGCACUUACUCAAACCAAAAGGUAGACCCUCCUACACUCCUAAGCUAUAUGGUGUCGCCUAUCACUCCUACGCUACAAGCCUAUAUAACAUGUCACUGUACAAAACAACAUGAGAUUAAAUAAAGCACAAGAGAAAAUGAUGCAUUCAAGAGACGUGGUUAAAUACAAGAUGUAAUGAGGCUGCUGCCAGUGUAGCCUGGCAUAUUGUUUUACAGCAAAAAUGUGUGUUUUAUAAGUAGAAAGAAUACAACCUAAAAUAAUGAUAAAAGUAUAAUAAAUACAUAAGCCAGUGACAUAGUUUAUUAUCAUUAUCAAGUAUCACGUACUGUACAGAAUUGUAUGUGCUAUACUCUUAUCCGACUGGCAGCUCAGUUUGUUGACAGCAGCAUCACCACAAACAUGUGAGUAAUGCAUUGCACUAGACAUUAUGACAACUACAAUGUCACCAGGUGAGAGGAAAUUUUCAGCUCCACUAGCAUCCUAUGGGACUACCAGCAUAUAUGCCGUCCAUCAUUGACCAAAAUGUUGUUAAACAGCACAUGACUAUAACUGUAUCUAUCUGUUCAGUUACUUAUUUUUUAUGUAUUCAUGUAUUUAUAUUUUAUGUUCCUGUGCAUUAUCUGUCUCUCCACACUAGAAUGUAAACUGCACAAGAACAGGAACUUUCUGUUCAUUGAAGCACCUCAAACAUCUACAACAGAGCAGAGAGUAAAGAUUUUUCUAAAUAACAAUUUAUCCUCAUGCCUGUUAGUAGGUUUGUUUUAUUUGUUGAUUUGCUUUUAAACAAGAGUUAUAAACAAGCUUGAGUGGUACUGUCUGUCCCUUCUCUUGGGUCCCUGGGGUUGGAUUGUCUAAAUAUCACACUGAAUGAAGAAAAGAAGCCAAAAUACAUAUUAACUGUCUAUUUUUUAUCGAGGUUUUACGCAAUAAUUUUAAACUGAUUUUCUUAUCAUGGUCUCACACUACACUAGGAAGACUGUGUUGGUAUUGUUUUUCCCUUUUGAAAGAUAUGGAAGCUCUAGUUUAGAGAAGUUAAAGGGCUUGCCCAAAGUCACACAGCAAGUUAGCCAUUGGAGAAACGGGUGGCUGAUGUUACAAUACAGAAAUCUGGAUUCCAAUCUCCUGAGUUUUUCGUUAGGCACAAGACAGGAAAAUGAUUGCACCACCUGCCACAGCGCCUCCAUGACCACGAAAGACAUUAAUCAUCCACUAGAACCAAAGCUAUACCUUCCUCUGGACCAGGGCAUCACUCUUCUUCAACACAGCAUUCCCGCCAGCCUCCAUCAAGCCAUGAUGUUGGAGAUAAGCAUGCCUACUUGCUACCUAUCCUAUUGACUCUUUUUUUCCUUUUUUAUUGACUUUAUUGAGGUGACAAUUGUUAAUAAAAUUAUGUAGGCUUCAAGUAUACAAUUCUAUAAUACA